rnacentral:rRNA from 1 species
UACGUAGGCAGCGAGCGUUGUUCGGAGUUACUGGGCGUAAAGAGUGCGUAGGCGGUUUUCUAAGUUUGGUGUGAAAUCUCCCGGCUUAACUGGGAGGGUGCGCCGAAAACUGGAAGGCUUGAGUAUGGGAGAGGUAAGCGGAAUUCCUGGUGUGAGCGGUGAAAUGCGUAGAUAUCAGGAGGAACACCGGUGGCGAAGGCGGUUCUCUGGGCAUUACCUGACGCUGAGGAGCGAAAGUGUGGGGAGCGAACAGG